UUAUAUGUAUGCAAUCAAUGUUCAACAUUAUUAUAGUUUCAUGAUAAUUGGUUACAUAUUGAAUAAAUUAAUAGUUAACCCAUAAUAUAAUUAUAUACAACAAUUUUUGCUAUAAAGUAGGGCAACAACAAAUUAUCAUAAACAAAAAGGCUCAAUGAUUAUAGCGUGUAAAUGAUAAUACCAAAAACGUAUUCGCGAGACUGAAUUGAGACAAGUAAGUUCAAUCGAUACUCAAAUACUGAUCGGAAAGUAGAACGAAUAAUCUCGAAUAUAUUAUGAAAUCUUAAUUGAAGUAAACCACUCCGUGUAAUAAACAAUCACAAAUAGUUCAUAGUGAUAGGUAUUCAUUGAUUUAUAUGAAAAAAUGUACAAAGAAGUUUUUUGACAAAAUAAGAUCAUUAUUAAAAUCUAUCGGAUCAAAUUAGAUGCAAUGCAUUUAUUAAGCCAAAGAGAAAAAAAAAAAAGUUUGUUAACUAACUGAUGCAGGGCAUCAAAUGUAGCUCUCUUACCUUCCCCGUGAGAUACGCAAAAUUCUAAGACCCACCACCCGGUUGCCCCCCACGUAACAAGUAAAAUUACCUGUAGGUAGAAAAAUACGUCAAAAUUGUCCGGCCAAUAUAAUAACAUCAACAUGAAAUAAUAUCAAAAUGCACAAAGAAAACUAGUAAAAAGUGGUGAAAAUUCAAUAUCAAGCCACGGUAAAAGAAAGUUCAAAAGUAGUGUGCAAAUGUAUUCCUGUAUAAAAAGUAUUUAUAAAAAUAAUUUAUUAUGUGCGGGUAAUCCAUUAAAUUUUGUGUAAUAUUGAAAUAAAGUGCGUUCCAGCUGAGAAGACAACAAUAAAAGCGCUUAUAACUCGAGGCGAGAAUAAAUAAUAGCUUGAAACAAGUAAUACGACGUUCAGAACGGUUGAAAUCGGUUUACACGGCUAAUCACAGAGGAAGCCGGUUAAAAGUGAUAUAAAAACAAUUGAAGAAAAACAAAAAGACUUUAAAUUAUUUUGAAACCAGAGAUGUCUUCAUUUCAGGCAGAUGGAAAGAUAAAGGAAAGCAACUAAGAAUACUUGGACUAGGUUUUCUCUUUUCAUCAUGAACGCGAAAACGUUAACUCAGACAUGAGCACCACACUCCCCCUCACCGCCAUUUUGCAUGUUAAAAAAGUUAAGAUGAUAGAUCUCAAUUGAUGCCACAAAAGUCUUCAGUGGUAAUUUUAAACAAUAUUUUUCCAAGAAAUCUGUUUGGGCUUUAACAAACGCAAGCGUAUAAAUUUAUGGUUUCAGUUGCUUUGAAAGUUAUCGAUCGGUUUUUUUAUAGUAAUUGAAAGUUGCUGCGUCAAGCAGUUAAAAAUUAACGUUAGUCCAUCGGUCCGUUC